rnacentral:rRNA from 1 species
AUUGAACGCUGGCGGAAUGCUUUACACAUGCAAGUCGAACGGCAGCACGGGUGCUUGCACCUGGUGGCGAGUGGCGAACGGGUGAGUAACAUAUCGGAACGUACCCAGUAAUGGGGGAUAACUAGUCGAAAGAUUAGCUAAUACCGCAUACGCCCUGAGGGGGAAAGCGGGGAUCGUAAGACCUCGCGUUAUUGGAGCGGCCGAUAUCUGAUUAGCUAGUUGGUGGGGUAAAGGCCUACCAAGGCGACGAUCAGUAGCUGGUCUGAGAGGACGACCAGCCACACUGGAACUGAGACACGGUCCAGACUCCUACGGGAGGCAGCAGUGGGGAAUUUUGGACAAUGGGCGCAAGCCUGAUCCAGCCAUUCCGCGUGAGUGAAGAAGGCCUCGGGUUGAUAAGCUUCUUUCGCAAGGGAAGAAACGAUACGAGCGAAUAACUCGUGUUAAUGACGGUACCUUGAUAAGAAGCACCGGCUAACUACGUGCCAGCAGCCGCGGUAAUACGUAGGGUGCGAGCGUUAAUCGGAAUUACUGGGCGUAAAGCGUGCGCAGGCGGUUUUGUAAGUCAGAUGUGAAAUCCCCGGGCUCAACCUGGGAACUGCGUUUGAAACUACAAGGCUAGAGUAUAGGAGAGGGGGGUAGAAUUUCCCACGUGUAGCAGUGAAAUGCGUAGAGAUGUGGAGG